AGGCAAGAAUUCUAGAGACUCGAGUCGCCAAAAUACAAUAUGAUUUAAGCUGUAGCAGGCCUUCCAUCCACCCCAUCCUCUAACUCUAAUAAUCCAGAGCAGCUCACGAUCCUUUGGAUUCGGCUAAUGCUCCUUGGAUUUUCGAGUGUGAAUGUCAGCCCGGGUGUCUGUAGUUGCUGCCUUUAGGAAGCCCCCUUCACUCUCCGCCCCCCAUGGGAGGAAUCCUUAGUCGAUCAGGAUCUGGUUGAAAUCUUCUAAAUUCACAUCAGGAUGCAAUGAUGCCAUGGAUAAUCUUUGACAUGGAUCAUUGCGGCAGAAGCAGGGGAUAUUCUUCGGGCCACGCGAACCCAUCUAGAUAUAACGCAACGUGGUGUGGUUGGAAGAAACAACACGCUUGAGCCGUCAGAUACAGGUUGGUUGGUCUUGAUCAUCAGUUGGGGAUCUGUGCUCUAAAUCUAGCCCCGUCUCCGUGGCAACAUCUGAAGAACAGGUGCGGUAGGACAGAGCUCUGAAACGAAGGUGGUUUUACAGUCCAGGCAAAGCAGAACCUGCAUCGAAAUGAAGCUCUUCGGCCGCAAUAACGGAAAGUUUCCACAAGCUACCGUUCACACAUAAUAAAC